UAAUCAUAGUAAUCUAUUGUGUACACCUAUACAUAUAUAGAGCAUUUGGUGCGUAUAGAAGAUGCACAUAACUGAGCGAGUUAUCUUCAGAGAAGAAGUGUGAAUAGUGUCAUCGAAGGAACGUUCUGCUCAACAUUUCUAAUGGGCAGCUUAACUAAGUAUUGUACUGGAAAGAUGAUGUACGUGAACAUUGCGGUAUGCCUAUCAAUAUUGCUUCUCGUUAUUGGCCUGUCGGUAGGACUUAACGUGAACAGCUUCAAAGGAAGUGACGUUCUCGACACGGCACCGCUCAUCGAUGGCCAUAACGAUUUGCCUUACAAUUUGUACUCACACUUGAACAACAAAUUAGAAAAAUUAUACCUCGAGAAGAAUCUAACAGAGGAUAAAGUAUGGGGUAGAAAUGCGUGCAACUCUUGCUACACGGAUCUUCCCCGUAUGAGGCAAGGAAAACUGGGCGCACAGUUUUGGGCCGCAUACGUCGACUGCUCGUCGCAAUAUAAAGAUGCUGUAGAAUUAACUUUGAGACAGAUCGAUGUGAUCAAGAGGCUAGUUGCGAAAUACCCGAACGAUUUGCAGUUUGUCACCGAAGCUAAAGGUAUCCAAGAAGCAUGGAGAAACGGAAAAAUUGGCUCGAUGAUCGGUGUUGAAGGAGGUCAUUCCAUUGACUCCAAUUUGGCCAUUCUUCGACUUUACUAUGAGCUUGGCGUGCGUUAUCUUACGCUGACUCACUCGUGCAACACACCAUGGGCUGAUGCAUCGCCAGCGCUCGAUAACCCUGUUCGCAAUCUCACAGCAUUUGGUAGAGAAGUUAUUCGCGAAAUGAACCGAUUAGGAAUGUUAGUGGAUUUAUCACACGUAUCACAUAAUGUUAUGAGGGAAGUACUCGCAAUAACGAAGGCACCCAUUAUGUUCUCCCAUUCAUCUGCCUACAGCGUUUGCAGACAUCACCGAAAUGUUCCUGACGAUGUUCUCCACACGGUUAAAAAAAACAACGGCGUUGUGAUGGUUAAUUUCUACUCUGAAUUCGUGAAUUGUAACUCAUCGAGGAAUGCAACAAUUCAGGAUGUUGUUGAUCACAUCAAUUACAUUCGUAAUCUUAUCGGAGCUGAUCAUGUUGGUAUCGGAGCCGACUACGAUGGUGUUGAACAAAUGCCCGAAGGUUUGGAAGACGUAUCAAAAUAUCCAGAUUUAUUCGAUCGUCUCUACGAAAGUAACGUGGAACCAAAAUGGACGAGGGAGGAGCUCGAAAAACUUGCUGGUAGAAAUCUGAUCCGUGUAUUUACCGAUGUAGAAGCAGUACGAGAUCAAUUGAAAUUGGUCCACCCAGUUGAAACUGUCAUAAGCGGACAAGAAAUUUACGAUGGUCAAGUAGAAAGUGGUCUGAAACCAGGUUCUUGCUACACUGCAAAAGAAUGGAAUGGGCUGAAUGUUACAUCGAGUGACUCAGAACAAUAACAGGAUAUUUAUUUAUUCAAGACGAGGUAACGCAACACGAUAAUUUAACAAAUGAACAGUUUAUUUUCUUACGUGAAAUUCUACCUCGAUAUUUACAAGUCCAUAGGUCUCUUUGCUAAAUGCAUUCAACUGACUCAAUGAAUAGUACGUUCUAUUUAUAAAACUUGUCGUACCAAAGUUUUAAUGCAGAACGUCCAAGUUUCCUCUGGGAUUUCCGCUUUAGAAGGAGAUAAACGUAAACGAGGAAAUGCAGAGAGUAAUAAACUUGGACGUUUCGGACUUGAAAUAAUUCUAUAAAUAACCUUAGCUGCAUAAUCUAGCAUUGCAGGAAAUAAGUACGAUACUGUAAUAACCUUAGACUGAUAUCAUUAUCAGCUUGUUUUAAUAAAUGCAUUCUCUACUCCA